UCCUAUAUUAUGUCGGGUAAUCGAGAUAUAUCUUUUUGUAUACACACGCGAUGAGAGAUGUGUAUACAAUAAGUUAUAUGCGGUGUUGUAUGAAUGAUUCUCUAAGCCAUGGAUGGCUUCCUUCACUUUCACUCAAAGUUAGGUUUGAAUAUGAUGACUGAAAUUUUUCCUAUAGAACUUUGACUAUAGUGAAAAGAAAACAGCACUUUUCACGUAGACAAACAGAUGAAGUAAGGCUUGGGUUAGAGGAGCAUGUAUAUAUGAUGUUGUCUUUUGUAGAGGAGCAUCUGUUGUCAGCAUGCUCACAGAUGAUGAUGUAUAUGCUAAGAAGAAGAGGUGGCUGGGUGAGUGGGUGCGGGGGCUUCCAACAUGGCUCAUGGCGUUAGUCGUGGAGGAGUUGAUGUACCCAAUUUCUAAGAUUUGUUUGAUAAAUAAAAUGCAUCUUUUGUACGAAAAGACAAAAGGACUUAGGUCCACCAAAAACAAGAGAUCAAAAGUAAAGGUCGACUCGUCUCUAGUCGGGGCUAUGAUUGCACCCCAAAGAUUAUUUUUCUAAAGAAUAGUGCUUGGUUAUAUCUUUAGCCUACGGCUGAAGAUGUAGAAAUUUAG
rnacentral:lncRNA from 1 species